UUGAUGUGUGAGUCAGUCCUUCAAGAAUCUGAAUAAAUUGGAGACAGGUGAAGAAGGCAAUUUCCGUGCAUAAAACAGAACAAGUGUAAAUCUAGAAGAAGGUGUAAGAUGUGCUAGGGAAAGCAAGGCAGUGAGGCAGGUGGCGGGAGAGAGUGUGUUUCUAGAGAGCCAGGUCAGAUGGGUUUUGUAUGUUAGUGGUUGCCAUCUGUGGACUUCUGAGAAACAGGCAGAGGAGCAAGUGUGCUUUGUCUCAAGUGGUGUUUUUAAGUUUGAGCUCAGAAACAGAACUCAUAUCUAAUUUGGGUCUUAGAGUCGCAGACACCAGGUUAUUACACUCUUGAAGCUGUUUUUACAUAUUAUUUUCCAGUACCUUCAUGGGUUGGGGGCAUUGGCUGAGCUCCCAUCCCACCACCAGCACCAACUUUCCAGGUGUGAGAAUACGGCAUCUUGGAACUGAUGCUCCAGUUCCCAGUUGAACCACCCCAGAUUCCAGUAAGAACAUCAGGGAAACAAAGAGCACUCUUUGCAAGAUGGACUCUUCUAGAGAAGAUGAUUGGCCAAUGGGCUGUGACGACAAAAGUCAGAAAUUGUAGUCCUUUGGGAUAUCUCAUCUUGUUAGGAUCAUCAUGGUCUCCUCAGGCUGAAAUUCAUGAGUCUCCAAAUCCCUCAGCACCUAAUUCUUCAUGAGGUUAGAGCAGUUAAUAUUGAGAAUGUUGCAAUUCCGUGAAUAAAUAGUUUCUGUUUCUGUAUUGGAAUUUCCUG
rnacentral:lncRNA from 13 species